rnacentral:rRNA from 1 species
CAGCGUCACGAGUGGGAAUCACGAUUAUUGGGCCUAAAGCGUCCGUAGCCGGUUUGGUAAAUCUUUAGUGAAAUCGGCCAGCUUAACUGGUCGGCGUGCUAGGGAGACUGUGAAACUAGGAACCGGGAGGAGUUAGAGGUAUACAAUGGGGAGCGGUAAAAUGCAAUAAUCCUUUGUAGACCACCUGUGGCGAAGGCGUCUAACUAGAACGGAUUCGACGGUGAGGGACGAAAGCUGGGGGAGCGAACCGGAUUAGAUACCCGCGUAGUCC